rnacentral:rRNA from 1 species
AGGACGAACGCUGGCGGCGUGCUUCAUACAUGCAAGUCGAACGAGAAGCUAACUUCGGUUAGUGGAAAGUGGCGGACGGGUGAGUAAAAUGUAGAGAAUCUGCCCUAGAGAGGGGGACAACAGUUGGAAACGACUGCUAAUACCCCAUAUGAGCGUAGCUGAGAUGCUAUUCUUGAAAACUCCGGUGCUCUGGGAUGAGUCUGCAUCUGAUUAGCUAGUUGGCGGUGUAAUGGACCACCAAGGCGACGAUCAGUAGCUGGUUUGAGAGGAUGAUCAGCCACAAUGGGACUGAGACACGGCCCAUACUCCUACGGGAGGCAGCAGUAGGGAAUUUUGCGCAAUGGGGGAAACCCUGACGCAAGCAACGCCGCGUGAUUGAAUAAGCCCUUCGGGGUGUAAAGAUCUGUCAGUAGGGACGAAACUUGACGGUACCUACAGAGGAAGCAUCGGCUAACUCCGUGCCAGCAGCAGC